GACGAACGCUGGCGGCGUGCUUAACACAUGCAAGUCGAACGGAAAGGCCCUGCUUUUGUGGGGUGCUCGAGUGGCGAACGGGUGAGUAACACGUGAGUAACCUGCCCUUGACUUUGGGAUAACUUCAGGAAACUGGGGCUAAUACCGGAUAGGAGCUCCUGCUGCAUGGUGGGGGUUGGAAAGUUUCGGCGGUUGGGGAUGGACUCGCGGCUUAUCAGCUUGUUGGUGGGGUAGUGGCUUACCAAGGCUUUGACGGGUAGCCGGCCUGGGAGGGUGACCGGCCACAUUGGGACUGAGAGACGGCGCAGACUCCUACGGGAGGCAGCAGUGGGGAAUAUUGCACAAUGGGCGGAAGCCUGAUGCAGCAACGCCGGGUGCGGGAUGACGGCCUUCGGGUUGUAAACCGCUUUCGCCUGUGACGAAGCGUGAGUGACGGUAAUGGGUAAAGAAGCACCGGCUAACUACGUG
rnacentral:rRNA from 1 species